rnacentral:rRNA from 1 species
UACGAGGGGGGCAAAUGUUGUUCGGAAUCACUGGGCGUAAAGGGAGCGUAGGCGGGUUUCUAAGUCAGGUGUUUAAUCCCGGGGCCCAACCCCGGACAGGCACUUGAAACUGGGAAUCUUGAAUAGUGGAGAGGUCAGUGGAAUUGGGGGUGUAGAGGUGAAAUUCGUAGAUAUUGGGAAGAACACCGGUGGCGAAGGCGGCGACCUGGUCCUUUUACUGACGCUGAGGCGCGAAAGCGUGGGGAGCAAACAGG